rnacentral:rRNA from 1 species
AGGGGGGCUUGAGUUCACUCCCAACCCCAUGUGACAUACCUGUUUCGUUCCCUCGGCGGUGUCCGGCAACGGCCCGCCAGAGGACCCAACAAACUCUUUUGAAUUUUUCAGUAUCUUCUGAGUGAAAAAAACAAUAAAUAAAAACUUUCAACAACGGAUCUCUUGGUUCUGGCAUCGAUGAAGAACGCAGCGAAAUGCGAUAAGUAAUGUGAAUUGCAGAAUUCAGUGAAUCAUCGAAUCUUUGAACGCACAUUGCGCCCGCCAGUAUUCUGGCGGGCAUGCCUGUUCGAGCGUCAUUUCAACCCUCAAGCUUAGCUUGGUGUUGGGGAUCGGCAAGGCGUCCUCCGGGUCGCGCCGUCCCCCAAAUUUAGUGGCGGUCUCGCUGUAGCUUCCUCUGCGUAGUAAUACACCUCGCUCUGGAGUCUCGGUGCGGCCACGCCGUAAAACCCCCAACUUUUUCUGGUUGACCUCGAAUCAGGUAGGACUACCCGCUGAACUUAAGCAUAUCAAAAGUC